rnacentral:tRNA from 1 species
GAAUCCAAGGAGGCCUCGAAUGAGCUGAAUGAGGU